rnacentral:rRNA from 1 species
AACGAUAACCUCGGGAAACUGAGGCUCCUCCUUCAUACGGGAGUCAUGCUGGAAUGCCGACUCCCCGAAACGCUCAGGCGCUGUAGGAUGUGGCUGCGGCCGAUUAGGUAGACGGUGGGGUAACGGCCCACCGUGCCGAUAAUCGGUACGGGUUGUGAGAGCAAGAGCCCGGAGACGGAAUCUGAGACAAGAUUCCGGGCCCUACGGGGCGCAGCAGGCGCGAAACCUUUACACUGCACGCAAGUGCGAUAAGGGGACCCCAAGUGCGAGGGCAUAUAGUCCUCGCUUUUCACGACUGUAAGGCGGUCGAGGAAUAAGAGCUGGGCAAGACCGGGGCCAGCCGCCGCGGUAAUACCGGCAGCUCAAGUGAUGACCGAUAUUAUUGGGCCUAAAGCGUCCGUAGCCGGCCACGAAGGUUCAUCGGGAAAUCCGCCAGCUCAACUGGCGGGCGUCCGGUGAAAACCACGUGGCUUGGGACCGGAAGGCUCGAGGGGUACGUCCGGGGUAGGAGUGAAAUCCCGUAAUCCUGGACGCACCACCGAUGGCGAAAGCACCUCGAGAAGACGAAUCCGACGGUGAGGGACGAAAGCUAGGGUCUCGAACCGGAUUAGAUACCCGGGUAGUCCUAGCUGUAAACGAUGCUCGCUAGGUGUGACACAGGCUACGAGCCUGUGCUGUGCCGUAGGGAAGCCGAGAAGCGAGCCGCCUGGGAAGUACGUCCGCAAGGAUGAAACUUAAAGGAAUGG